rnacentral:rRNA from 1 species
UAGGGAAUAUUGGUAAUGUGCGAAAGCGCGAACCAGCAACGCCGCGUGCACGAUAAAGGCCUUCGGGUCGUAAAGUGCUUUUAGAGAGGAUGAGGAAGGACAGUACUUUCUGAAUAAGCCUCGGCUAACUACGUGCCAGCAGCCGCGGUAAAACGUAGGAGGCUAGCGUUAUCCGGAUUUACUGGGCGUAAAGCGCAUGCAGGUGGUUUUGUAAGUUGGAUGUGAAAGCUCCUGGCUUAACUGGGAGAGGUCGUUCAAAACUACAAGACUUGAGAUUGGUAGAGGAAAAUGGAAUUCCGGGUGUAGUGGUGAAAUGCGUAGAUAUCCGGAGGAACACCAGUGGCGAAAGCGGUUUUCUGGACCAAUUCUGACACUCAGAUGCGAAAGCUAAGGUAGCAAACG